CCAGACUCCUACGGGAGGCAGCAGUGGGGAAUAUUGCACAAUGGGCGCAAGCCUGAUGCAGCGACGCCGCGUGAGGGAUGACGGCCUUCGGGUUGUAAACCUCUUUCAGCAGGGAAGAAGCGAAAGUGACGGUACCUGCAGAAGAAGCGCCGGCUAACUACGUGCCAGCAGCCGCGGUAAUACGUAGGGCGCGAGCGUUGUCCGGAAUUAUUGGGCGUAAAGAGCUUGUAGGCGGUUUGUUGCGUCUGCUGUGAAAGACCGGGGCUUAACCCCGGUAUUGCAGUGGGUACGGGCAGACUAGAGUGCAGUAGGGGAGACUGGAAUUCCUGGUGUAGCGGUGAAAUGCGCAGAUAUCAGGAGGAACACCGAUGGCGAAGGCAGGUCUCUGGGCUGUAACUGACGCUGAGAAGCGAAAGCAUGGGGAGCGAACAGGAUUAGAUACCCUGGUAGUCCAUGCCGUAAACGUUGGGCACUAGGUGUGGGGGACAUUCCACGUUUUCCGCGCCGUAGCUAACGCAUUAAGUGCCCCGCCUGGGGAGUACGGCCGCAAGGCUAAAACUCAAAGGAAUUGACGGGGGCCCGCACAAG
rnacentral:rRNA from 1 species